rnacentral:rRNA from 1 species
UACAGAGGUCUCGAGCGUUGUUCGGGUUCAUUGGGCGUAAAGGGUGCGUAGGUGGCUUGGUAAGUCGGAUGUGAAAUCCCGGGGCUCAACCCCGGAACUGCAUUCGAUACUGCUUUAGCUUGAGUCCUGGAGAGGAGAUCGGAAUUUACGGUGUAGCAGUGAAAUGCGUAGAUAUCGUAAGGAAGACCGGUGGCGAAGGCGGAUCUCUGGACAGGAACUGACACUGAGCACGAAGGCCAGGGGAGCAAACGGG